CUCCUUCAAAUGCGGUCGACGAAUGCGGCCUUCUUUUCGCCUGAAUGAAGGAUGGGUCGGGUGUAUCCUUCAAUAGGUAGCAUUUCCCAAGAUGCCUUGCGGGCCGGCCGGCAGAAAAACUUAAAAACAAUGGCGGACAGUGAAGCGGGAGCUGUCGGAGAGGAUUGCGCUUAUAAAUGACCAAAAGAGAAAACCAGGGAAUUUAUUAAGCUUAGGGCGGAGAUGGACCACAUGAUCACCGGAGCAAAGUAUUCGGCGGCUGUGGCAUGGAGACUAUUCUGGAGAAAAUGGGCAUCCAGGGGAAGGUGCCAGCGAUGAGCUUCUGGAGCUGAUCUGGGAGGACAUGAGGCUGCAGAGCAGCAGAGAGCACAGGAGAGAAGGAAGAACUUUGACAGCUUUUUACUUUGCUAGAAAAAAAUGGUUAAUGAAGAUUAAACAUGUACAUGUAAAAGAAAUAUCUAAAUAAAAUCAGUUCUGCAUUAAA